rnacentral:rRNA from 1 species
CGGUAAUACGGAGGGUGCAAGCGUUAAUCGGAAUUACUGGGCGUAAAGCGUGCGUAGGUGGUUUGUUAAGUUAGAUGUGAAAGCCCUGGGCUCAACCAUAGAACUGCUUCCAAAACUGAUUACCUAGAGUAUGGGAGAGGUAGAUGGAAUUUCUGGUGUAGGGGUAAAAUCCGUAGAGAUCAGAAGGAAUACCGAUUGCGAAGGCGAUCUACUGGAACAUUACUGACGCUCAGAUUCGAAAGCGUGGGGAGCAAACAGGAUUAGAUACCCUGGUAGUCCACGCCCUAAACGAUGCACACUAGUUGUUGCUAUACUAGAUAUAGCAGUAAUGCAGUUAACACAUUAAGUGUGCCGCCUGGGGAGUACGGUCGCAAGAUUAAAACUCAAAGGAAUAGACGGGGACCCGCACAAGCGGUGGGGCAUGUGGUUUAAUUCGACGAUACGCGAAGAACCUUACCUGGCCUUGACAUAGAUAGAAUAUAGCAGAGAUGUAAUAGUGCUGGUUUACCAGAGCUAUCAUACAGGUGCUGCACGGCUGUCGUCAGCUCGUGUCGUGAGAUGUUGGGUUAAGUCCCGCAACGAGCGCAACCCACGUGAUUAGUUGCUAACAGUUCGGCUGAGAACUCUAAUCAGACUGCCUGGGUAACCAGGAGGAAGGUGUGGACGACGUCAAGUCAUCAUGGCCCUUACGGCCAGGGCUACACACGUGCUACAAUGGGGUAUACAGAGAGCCGCAAUACCGCGAGGUGGAGCAAAUCUUCAAAAUAUCUCCCAGUUCGGAUAGCAGUCUGCAACUCGACUGCUUGAAGUUGGAAUCGCUAGUAAUCGUGGAUCAGCAAUGCCACGGUGAAUACGUUCCCGGG